rnacentral:rRNA from 1 species
UACGAAGGUGGCAAGCGUUGUUCGGAUUCACUGGGCGUACAGGGUGUGUAGGCGGUUUGGUAAGCCUUCUGUUAAAGCUUCGGGCCCAACCCGGAAAGCGCAGAGGGUACUGCCAGGCUAGAGGACGGGAGAGGAGCGCGGAAUUCCCGGUGUAGCGGUGAAAUGCGUAGAGAUCGGGAGGAAGGCCGGUGGCGAAGGCAGCCCCCUGGGUCAAGAUUGACGCUCAUGCACGAAAGCGUGGGGAGCAAACAGG